UUCAACUUCUUCAUCUUCUUUAUUCAAUUUCACCCUUAACAACCUUACAAAGUUUCAAGGUUAGUUUUUUUCUCUUUACUUAUGUUAUUUAAUGUUUUUCAGUUUUAUAAACAGUACUUAUAUCAUUGUGUUAGGUUAUGGACCAGGUUGUUGCUCUUGGGUAUAUUUUCAGUCGUCUUCUUGCCGGUUUAAUUAUCAUAUAUGUUUGUGUUAAUGAAAGUUCAUUUGGUUGUUCAAAAAAACUUGUACACGUAGUCGCACCGAGAUGGUCUCAUUCUCCCUUGACCUCAUUGCAGCCAUCGACCUUUUGUCAUCGCCACCGCCCACCUCCACAACGGCUAUCCAGCCACCUCCGCUCUCCAGGUCUCCCAUUCCGGGUCAUUCAGAUUUUAGAAGUCAGAACACGAUUGGGAUAUGGGACUUAGGAGGAGCAUACACAGUAAGCUGAGUAAGCUGCUGUAAUAGCUCAGAUGUUAUGACAACAUAAAUGGAUGGCUCCCGAGAUGUGGCAUGACACAGGAGAGGCUACGGAUGAUGAUAUAGAGAUUUUGUUGAAGACGUUGAUGCCGAAUUGUUUUCAAGAGUCAAGUAUUCCGUUAGUUUAGCUUUAUUUAUAGAUAUUAGAAUUGUAUGUAGCUUAUGUAUGAAAUUUAAUGUCGUUUGUUAUACAUUUAGCAAAGAAUUGUAAUUUGACAAGUUUA